rnacentral:rRNA from 1 species
AUUGAACGCUGGCGGCAUGCUUUACACAUGCAAGUCGAACGGUAACAGGCCUUCGGGCGCUGACGAGUGGCGAACGGGUGAGUAAUGCAUCGGAACGUGCCCAGUCGUGGGGGAUAACGCAGCGAAAGCUGUGCUAAUACCGCAUACGAUCUGUGGAUGAAAGCGGGGGACCUUCGGGCCUCGCGCGAUUGGAGCGGCCGAUGUCAGAUUAGGUAGUUGGUGGGGUAAAGGCUCACCAAGCCAACGAUCUGUAGCUGGUCUGAGAGGACGACCAGCCACACUGGGACUGAGACACGGCCAAGCCUCCUACGGGAGGCAGCAGUGGGGAAUUUUGGACAAGGGGCGCAAGCCUGAUCCAGCAAUGCCGCGUGCAGGAAGAAGGCCUUCGGGUUGUAAACUGCUUUUGUACGGAGCGAAAAGGCUCCCUCUAAUACAGGGGGCUCAUGACGGUACCGUAAGAAUAAGCACCGGCUAACUACGUGCCAGCCGCCGCAGUAACAC